rnacentral:rRNA from 1 species
CCUACGCGUGGCAGCAGUGAGGAAUAUUGGUCACUGGACGCAAGCCUGAACCAGCCAUGCAGCGUGCAGGAUGACGGCUCUACGAGUUGUAAACUGCUUUUGUACGGGGGUAAAUUCUGACACUUGUAACUGGUUGAAAUUACUUUACGAAUAAGGAUCGGCUAACUCCGUUCCAGCAGCCGCGGUAAUACGGAGGAUCCAAUCGUUAUCCGGAUUUAUUGGGUUUAAAGGGUGCGUAGGUGGUUUGGUAAGUUAGAUGUGAAAUUCAGAGGCUCAACUCAGGAACUGCAUUCGAUACUGUCGGGCUAGAGUUUAGUUGAGGUAGGCGGAAUUUGUGGUGUAGCGGUGAAAUGCAUAGAGAUCAUACAGAACACCGAUUGCGAAGGCAGCCUACUAAACUACGACUGACGUUGAGGCACGAAAGCGUGGGGAUCAAACAGGAUUAGAUACCCCAGUAGUC